GAUGAAGAACGUAGCGAAAUGCGAUACUUGGUGUGAAUUGCAGAAUCCCGUGAACCAUCGAGUCUUUGAACGCAAGUUGCGCCCGAAGCCAUCAGGUUGAGGGCACGUCUGCCUGGGCGUCACAUAUCGUUGCCCAAUGCCUAUUGCAGUGCAAUAGGAAAUUCUAGGGCGAAAGAUGGCUUCCCGUGAGCGUUGUUGCCUCGCGGUUGGUUGAAAAUUGAGUCCUUGGUAGGGUGUGCCAUGAUAGAUGGUGGUCGAGUUUGCACGAGACCGAUCAUGUGUGCGCUCCCCAAAAUAUGGACUCUUUGACCCCACACGCGUCUUUUGACGCUCAUGACGAGACCUCAGGUCAGGCGGGGCUACCCGCUGAGUUUAAGCAUAUCAAUAAGCGGAGGA
rnacentral:misc_RNA from 1 species